UUUUUUCUUCUUUUUGUGAUUUCUUUUAAUUUUUGCAUCCAUUAUUUUGGAGCUAAGUUGCCCAUCAAGAUACUCCCCGAGCAUGAGAGCCACGUACCUGGCGGUCACCGAUGAGCACGUCCGGCACCGCGGCGACUUCCCGGCCUAGCAGGAGAUUCCGCUCGGGAAACCAAAGACCCCGGAGAGAGAAGGCGUGGUAGGAGACACGGCGGGGGCUGGAGGACGAGCCUGGAGCCCCCCAGCACCCCACUCCCCUCGGCAGCCCCCCAGACCCACACCCUGCUGCCUUACGGGCUCCCAGGAGCACGGAGGGGUCUCCGGUGUCUCCUCCCGUCCCUGCGCCAGCUCGGGAAUGUUCUGGAGCACAAAUCCCGGGACACGCUGCCUCCCGUAGCAAUGCAGCACCAACCACUAGUGAUCCCAACCCCUUCCCGACCCCCAUUCCUGGCUAUCCCAGCUCCCCGUGCCCCCCUCACUGCCCCCCGGCCGGAGGGAGCGCUCCCAGGCCCAGGAAUUACGGAUGUCUUGGCCUUGCUGCUUUUCCUUCACUUUGCCCCCCAGGAUUUGGGAUCUGUGGGAGGUGCUGGCUCUGUUCCAGACAGGGGUCACUGCAGUGGUGUUUCUAGCAAGUUUUUGGGUGGCUUUAGGCUCUUUUUGGCUCCCCAGGGCAGGUGUGGGCGGGGGCAGGCUCCCCUCGUCCUGCAGCCCUGGAGUGCUCACAGAUCCCCUGGGAGAGGAACUGCUGGGGUAUCCCUGGGAAGGGACAACAUGGACCUGCCACCCCUGGGUGCUCAUCCCCAAUUCCCAGGAUGACGAGCCGAGAGAGCAGCACAAGCUGAACAAGGUCCUUUGGGGCUGCCCUUUGGCACACGGAUCCCCAGGAAAGGCCCCUUCCCCCUGGAGCAGGAAUGGACCCCCUGCCCCAUCCCACCCACACCCCCAAAGGGUGCACGCAGGGCAGUGGCUGCGUCCCCACCCAGGGCCAGGACAUCCCCCCCCGAGUCCCCCUCUCCAUAUUCCCCGUGACUAGCAUCCCUCCCCUUGGGGAAAAUCCCGAGGGAUUUUUUUAUUUUAUUUUUUUGGCUUUUAACAUUUCCAUGUAAAGGUACUGGUAGAAGAGCUGUUGUAACCGCAUGUGAACUAACUGAAGGACUCCAGCUGGGAGCUGGAGUCCGGCUGGAUUUGUAUGUGCCCUUUGCGGGGAAAAGAUAAUAAACACUUGGACUAAAUUAA